rnacentral:rRNA from 1 species
GACGAACGCUGGCGGCGUGCUUAACACAUGCAAGUCGAACGGAAAGGCCCUGCUUUUGUGGGGUGCUCGAGUGGCGAACGGGUGAGUAACACGUGAGUAACCUGCCCUUGACUUUGGUAUAACUUCAGGAAACUGGGGCUAAUACCGGAUAGGAUCUCCUGCUGCAUGGUGGGGGUUGGAAAGUUUCGGCGGUUGUGGAUGGACUCGCGGCUUAUCAGCUUGUUGGUGGGGUAGUGGCUUACCAAGGCUUUGACGGGUAGCCGGCCUGAGAGGGUGACCGGCCACAUUGGGACUGAGAUACGGACCAGACGCCUACGGGAGGCAGCAGUGGGGAAUAUUGAACAAUGGGCGGAAGCCUGAUGCAGCAACGCCGCGUGCGGGAUGACGGCCUUCGGGUUGUAAACCGCUUUCGCCUGUGACGAAGCGUGAGUGACGGUAAUGGGUAAAGAAGCACCGGCUAACUACGUG